UGGUGUAAUGUACUCAGGUGAAUAAGAUGCUUGUGAUGUUACUCUGAGUGUGGAGUAGAGUAACAUCACAAGCAUCUUAUUCACCUGAGUACAUU